CCAGAAGCAGUUUUCAUUCAAAUAUUUCUCCACUUAUUUUUAACCCCCGGGAGCCCUCUAGUGUCCUGUUUAGAAACAGACUCUUGGAAUUCAAAGGCAUUUGAGAGGGUUUGCUUAGCAGCAGUAGAAUAAAGGCCUCCUGAGAUGAAUGCCAUCACCCCAGAGGCCUGGGAUUAGAGCAUCGGAGUUCCCAGGGACUCACCUUUUCAUCCUGGCUGUGGCCAGAGUCACAUUGAUCUCCCACCUCUUCUGAGAAGUGGCCUAGAAAUUCAUAAAAAGGAAAUCUUUAGUGAAGAAGGCAUCAUUUUGCAGUUCCCUGGGGGAUGAAAACAACCUUGAUUGAGGUCAUCACCAGCUCAAAGAUUCUUUCCCUUGUAGGUUAUUACUCAGUGUUCAGUAGAGUUCCCUGUGCUAUUCAACAGGUCUGAUAUUAAAAGUUCAGAAAUAAAUGAGGAACCAUCCAAGCAGAUUGAGGAAGCCUUCAGAUUAUGCGAGGAAAACCAGGAAGAGGGAUGUUCUGAAGACAUGUCAAUGAAAAACAUCAAAGAAAAGAUCACUGUGACAGUCCCGCUGAAGGGUCACAGAAGAAGUGACUAAGGAUUAGUCAUCGAUUUAGCAAUGUGGCUGACAUCGGUGAUGUUGACAGUUUCCAUGAAGCGAUGGCGCUCAAGGCAAAAGUCACAUUUAAGCUGGGAAUGCCAGCACAGGAAUCAGAGAUUAAGUGGGACACUGUCCUGGAAACAGAGGAUCCUAAGACACAAUCCCUUAAGGCUCUGGUUCCUCCAGAUCCCUAACCUGGACCACACUGUAGACUUUAAAUAUGUCCUAAGACACAAUCCCUUAAGGCUCUGAUUCCUCCGGGUCCCUAAUGCCUCAUAAGCCGCACCUUCCCCCCAACCCCUGCAUUGGAAGAACAGGGGCUGGGAGGCUAUUUGAUAAACUAAGCACUGUUUGCGCUGUUUUCUUAUGUUAUUAAGAGAAUCUGAGCACUGAAUAAAGCUUUUAACUUAAAA
ensembl:lncRNA